UCAGUGGCGGUGCCAUUCGGCUUCAAGCGUAGUAAUUCUUCUCGCUUCGGAGGCCCGAGUGUGUGCUUGCCAGCAACCCCCAAUUUUUUUCAGGUUGACCUC
rnacentral:rRNA from 1 species